rnacentral:lncRNA from 1 species
AGGGCUGAAUUUUGUAUGUUCAUUUUGGAUUUUUAUCUUUAGUAUGAUUUUACAGCCGAACUCUAUUCUAUUUGACAAUGGUCACAUAACUUUCCCUUGCCCCAACUCCAAAUUUGAUGCAUGUGGUGUUUACUAUCGAUUGACAUUUGGAUUAUUGAGAUAUAGUAUAAACAAUGCACUCCACAUCUUGCUAGCCAAGAUUACAAGGAUGACAAGAUGUCCAUCAUUGUCUCCUCAAUAUAUACCUACAAGAUAAAAAUUUUAAUCGCAUUUAUGGUUUUGAUUCGUUGAUUGGGGAUUGCAUUUUUUUACUAAAGUAUCCAUGUUUGAUAAUUCGAUCGUAUCUCUUGUGAUUUCACCGAGCCUUCCUCUUCUACUAGAUCUCCCCACAUCGGAUGCUUUUCAAUACUGAAAUGAAUGGCACAUUGCUUGAAUGAUCCACUAAAUCUAUUUGGAUUCAGCAUUAUCUUUCAUAUUAAUAGAGAUUUUGAUUUACUUUAUGAUGAGGCACACUUCUUCCUUAUAAAUAGCCCCUACAUCCCUCUAUUCGUUACUCUUUUUCCUUUUUUUCUUCUAGCUAUUCUCAUGUCUCAUAUUCUUCUUUCCCUUACCAUGGUGAGAGAGUCUUGGUAUUGAUCAACAC